UUUUUUUGACAAAACUCAAAGCUUGCGCCUUGAUGAAUUGGAUACAUAGUAGUACUGUUUACAAGCCCAAGUGGGCUAAGGUUACAAUUGCACGCAAAGAAAAAUAAUGGAAAUACCAAGAACAUGAAAGGGACACCUUUUAAGACCUAGUGCUCCCGUGCGCGCCCAGUUCACCUCCUCCUCCUUGAUUUGAUAGGCUAAGCAUAGAUGGCAAGGCUGAUUGCAGUUGAAUGCGCAGCCGUUCCUGUGCUUCCAGAUCAUCCCAAUAGCUGAGUACAUGGAAGCUAUGUCAUUUCCUUAGCGGCUCUGGAGUGGCGCUGUGUGCUGUGAACCAACAUUCAAUGAUUCAAAGGGGUCCUUGCCGGAUCUUGGCGCGCAUGAGGUUGAUCGCAUCCAAGAGAGGAAUUCGUUCCCGAUCCACAGCAUGAAGUGGUGGUCGACUAGCAGGUGCCUUAUUGUCUUCAGUGUUUGGUCGCAGAAUAAAUAGGCCAGCAUAUGUUGCAGUCCAUGACCCACCUGCUGCUCCACCAUGCAGCAUCAGUUGAGGCUCGCGAGCUAGAUGAAGAACUUGACCUUAUAAUAAUUUGUUAUUGAAGUUAGAAAAAACACCAAAUACUUCUGUGCAUAUUAGUCAGCAAGAUCUUAAAAAACAGAGUACAUGCAUUUGAACACAAAACAUAUUUGGGUAUGUGGGAUCAUUACACACUGUGUAACUCUCCGUAUACAUUUCUAUUAAGAUAAUAUUCUCACUAACAGUCACUUUUUUGUCGCCAGUCCUGCUGCAGAAAAUUCUCAAUCCACCGGAGUCUGCUGUUAUUAAAAAUGCACUAGAGACUCUUGUUCAAAUUGAUGCGGUUCAGCCAGCUUUCGGUGGAGGGUAUCGGCCCAGUUUUUAUGGCUAUUUGCUCAACAGUUUGCCAUUAUCAUUACAUGCUUCUAUUAUUACCGUGAAAUUUGGUGAGAUGGGGUAUCUCCAUGAAGGAAUCCUGAUAGGCAUUAUGUUGGACAUCCAACCACUUCCUAUACUGCAACCUUUUGGUGAUCAAGCAUUGGUAUGUUCUAGUUACAUCAAGUGAAUUAGUAACAACAGAACAUGCUUAUAUCCUAAUUUAUGUUUUACAGCGCAAGAAGAUUAGAGACGAUUACUUUGAUGAGGUUAGCUCUCAACAAAUUGGCAAGAAGGAAGCUACACUCAUCGGAAAUCUUCGGGCAUUUCAAUUUUGGCAGUGUAUGUUUAAGGUACAUCCUAUGUUAUCUGUAACAAAAUACCCUGUACAUUUGUUGAGGGCCUUUUCGUUAGUUGGUUAUUUUCAAAUUUGUAAUAUUAACUUUCAAGUCCUUUUUAGUAACAAUUACAAAUAUAAAUGCUCAUUAUCUUUUUGUAUAAUGCAGAUGAUAUAUCAUGGGCCUUAAGUGAAAAAAUAUUACUGAUUAACCAAACUGUACCUUUUUUUAAUCUGUUAGCACUUUUUGUUUUCACUAAAGUUACAUGUUCUAUUUUUUUCAGGAUAAGUUUCGUCUGGAGUACCUGAUAAAUAUGGCCAAGAACGAAGAGUCAAAUACAUAUGAGCCCUUGAUCUUGAAAAAUGAACAAGACUGGUGUAGAGUUCACAAUCUCGUGCCGAAAGCGCUUAACAACAUCUCUGAAAUCUGUAUGUCCUUUAACUUGUGAUAAAAAGUUUGUGAAGUGGAUUUUGUACUAGGUGUAGGUACUCCCACUAGUAUGUGUAUUUUGAUUGCACAGUUUGCAUCUAUUGAUGUGCGCCAGAUACUCUUGCAUUAUCAUAGUUUUUCCACUAAAAGUUCGAAAAUGUACAUAAGAUGGUAGAAAGGGUUGCCUGCUGUAGCCUACUGUGUUAUACAUCAGUGUUUUCUGUUCCUUCAAAAUAUACAUAGUUCGUGCGAGGACAUACUCCUAGAAGUGCAAGUAUCUAAAUGCUUUCCAAAAAUACAAUACAUGGACAUUUCUUGUUCUUAACUCUUUCUUUUGAACAGAUGAUGAUAUUAUGAGCACACUGCACGGCUUUAGGCCUCUUUUCUUAAGAAAACCAGUCCUCCAAAGUACCUUCAGACCUCUGAAUUCCACCAUGCAUGUGGUGACCCUGAAUUACCG
rnacentral:lncRNA from 1 species